rnacentral:rRNA from 1 species
UUAGUUGCCAUCAUUCAGUUGGCACUCUAGCGAGACUGCCGGUAAUAAACCGGAGGAAGGUGGGGAGUGACGUCAAAUCAUCAUGCCCCUUAUGACCUGGGCUACACACGUGCUACAAUGGUUGGUACAACGAGUUGCGAGUCGGUGACGGCGAGCUAAUCUCUUAAAGCCAAUCUCAGUUCGGAUUGUAGGCUGCAACUCGCCUACAUGAAGUCGGAAUCGCUAGUAAUCGCGGAUCAGCACGCCGCGGUGAAUACGUUCCCGGGCCUU